UUACGGUUUCACAUUAAUUCUUUUCUAGGGUUAGUGCUCUAGGUAAAUGUCGUUGGAAUUUGGGUGAAAUUGAUGCCUUGGUGGUUAUGGAGUUUUUCUGUCAAUUUUUUCUAAACCUCUAUUGUUUCUGUCUUUCCGCUCAUUCUUCUUUCUGUAUCACAGCGUGCUUCGGUGCUUUUAAGUGCUGCAGGUUUCUUGGAUCGUCAUUUUGAUAAGGUUUUUCAAGUAGUUAGGUAUUUUUGGAAGCAUGAAAUAAAAAUUUGGGGUUUUCAGAGCAUAUGACACUUAAUUUAAAAGGCGUCUAAAGCGCCAAGGGUUUUCAGGCUCUAAUUUCAAUUGAAGAUGCUAGCGUUUGGGUGUGAAAUCUAGAAAAAACCUUAGAUAAAACCUAGAAAAAGAAGAGAAAUAAAGAAAAGAAGAAAGUGUAAAAUGCUUGAUGAAUGCCCACAUCAAUUAGCUUCUUUUGUGGAUUAGAUCAUAAGACGUUCUAAGAUGAACUCCUUAGGCGCUAUGAAGCUCUCACUUCAAGGAAAAGAUGCCCGACCCAUCGCAUGCCUGAGCCCCGUGGUGUUUGCCUUAGGCGCACUUUUGAAACUAAGAUAUAAUAAUCUAUAGGAAUGAAUUGAGAAGGAAAAUAUAUGUAGAUUAUUAUUUAUGAUGAUUUUCUUAGUAAAUGAUUAGCAAUAGAUAGGGCAAAUAAAGUAUAGUGUUCGUUAACAACAAGUUUCCACAAUGAUUUAUCUCAUAUUGUUGGCAUUAAGGCUAUUUUGUACAAAGCUGUGGCCUUGUUAGCGUGGAAGAUAAAGAGUGUUCUCCCAAUAUUGUAUUUUGAUGGUGUCGAGAAAGGCUUCUAUACGAUUUGCCUCUGUUUUCUAGUUGGAUUUACAAACAAAUUGAUGAUUUCCCACCUUUUGAUCUUGAAGUUGCACCUUUUAAUUUAUUUUCUCAAUCUUGCAUUUGAUCAUCUUCUUUUGAUCUGUUAUGAUAUGUUGAUAUGCAGCUUGCUUGGUCCCUUCAAGACUCAAGUUCUGUUGAGGAUUGGAGUUCUCUCAUUAUGUGCAGUUAUCAUGCUUGAAGAGAGCCAAAGACUUAUGUGGCUGACAGUGACAUCAUGUUAAGAGCUUUGCCUUUUCUUUUAUGGUGGGUUGUUACGACUCAAGUCCGUCCUCCUAUACGAUUUACGUAUAGUAGAGCAAAAGGAAGGACUGUCUAGAAGCUUUUAGAAAUCUUGAGCACCAUUCUGUUUUGCUGAGGUGGUACACUUUGUUAUGCAUUUCUAAAGUUUGUUAUGAGGCGUCAAGCUGUUAGUAGAUUCUCUUAUGAUGUCUAUAUAAGGAAGAGGGUGAAGAGAAUGAAAUCAUCUUUGAAUAUUGUAAUAGCUGAGUAUUCUGUACCGGAGUAAGGGGUCACUCGAAGUGCUCUAGCUACAUUGGCAACUGCCUUAAUACAAUUAACUCUUCCCCUAAUUCUCUUCUUCUUCUCUCUUAUUUUUUUCUGUUUUCUUGUGUAGUAAUUCUUGUGAAUCAUAACGUUGUCGUGUCUUAACAUCUGGUAUCAGAGCAAUCAUGGCUCCAAAUCAGAGUGCGCAUCUGGAUCUCCAUGAAAAUGAGAUUCAGCAGCUUAAGGAGUCAAUACCUGGACAAAUCGAAAUGUUGUCACAGAAUUUCGAAGAAAGAAUGAAUAUCAUGAUGGCUUGGUUUCAAAACAAGAUGGAUAUCGAGCAAGCUAGGGCUCAAGAAGCUCAAGCAAAAUUACUGGAGAAAUUACGGGGUACGAAUUCGCCAAAAAUUGCUCGGGGUGAAACAGAGGAUAUUCGAAAAAAUAAUGAAGAUCUGUUUGUUCAGGGCGAUGGAUUUGACAUUCCGAGAAGGUCAAAUUCGCAGGAAGAAAAACCGAGGCGAGGGAGAACCACCAUGUAAGGCUGAGGAGACUGGAGUUACCGGUGUUUUCUGGUGAAAGUCCGGAUGCGUGAAUCAUUAAGGCAAAGCGUUUCUUCAACUAUUAUCAGUUGACGGAAACCGAGCAGCUCGAAGCGGCAGUGAUAGGGUUGGACGGAGAUGCCAUUUUAUGGUACCAAUGGGAACAUAGGAGGCGCCCAAUCACUAGAUGGAGUGAGAUGAAGGAGUUGCUGUUGCGACAUUUUCGAGCGAGGAAGGCGGGUUCCUUAUGUGAACAACUCUUAUUGGUGGUUCAAGAAGGGUCGGUUGAGGAGUAUAGGAAGCAGUUUGUGUAAUGGCAACUCCAUUAACAGGCAUUAAAGAGGAGAUGUUGGCAGCCUUCAUAAAGGGAUUGGAUGACAAAAUCAAAACAGAGUUGCGUGUCCUUGGACCUUCGAACCUGGAGCAGGCGAUGGAGUGGACCUUAAAUAUAGAAGAAAAACUUUUAGUCCCAUGCCUAUUGGAGCCGAAAUUCCGGAUAUACCCCUAGGACUGUUAGAAUUAAUAUGGAGUCUAUUCCCAGAUUAAUGCUAAAAAACAGAUUAAUUCCCACUUUGCAUUUUUUGGGAAAUUAUUUCCCACAAUACCG